GCACAAGCAGCGGAGCGUGUGGUUUAAUUCGAUGCUACACGAAGAACCUUACAGGGUUUGACAUGCAAGUGGUAGGAAGCCGAAAGGUGACCGACCCUUCGGGGAGCUUGCACAGGUGCUGCAUGGCUGUCGUCAGCUCGUGUCGUGAGAUGUUCGGUUAAGUCCGCUAACGAGCGCAACCCUCGCUGUGUGUUAUAUGUGUCACACGGGACUGCCGGUCUUAAGCCGGAGGAAGGUGGGGAUGAUGUCAAGUCAGCAUGGCCUUUAUAUCCUGGGCUACACACACGCUACAAUGGCCAACACAAUAGGUUGCUAAGCCGCGAGGUGGCGCCAAUCCAUAAAGUUGGUCUCAGUUCAGAUUGUAGGCUGCAACCCGCCUGCAUGAAGAUGGAGUUGCUAGUAAACGCAGGUCAGCCAUACUGCGUUGAAUACGUUCCCGGGGCUU
rnacentral:rRNA from 1 species